rnacentral:tRNA from 1 species
GCAUGGAUAGCUCAGUUGGUAAAGCAUCUGUCUUCUACUCAGGUCAUGAUCCUGGAGUCCAGGGAUCAAGUCCCUUGUCAGGCU